rnacentral:rRNA from 1 species
AGAGCGAACGCUGGCGGCAGGCCUAACACAUGCAAGUCGAGCGCGUGUAGCAAUACACGAGCGGCAGACGGGAGAGUAACACGUGGGAACGCGCCCUUCGGUUCGGAAUAACUCAGGGAAACUUGAGCUAAUACCGGAUACGCCCUUACGGGGAAAGAUUUAUUGCCGAAGGAACGGCCCGCGUCCGAUUAGCUAGUUGGUGAGGUAACGGCUCACCAAGGCGACGAUCGGUAGCUGGUCUGAGAGGAUGACCGGCCUCACUGGGACUGAGACACGGCCCAGACUCCUACGGGAGGCAGCAGUGGGGAAUAUUGGACAAUGGGCGCAAGCCUGAUCCAGCCAUGCCGCGUGGAUGAUGAAGGCCUUAGGGUUGUAAAGUCCUUUUAACGGGGAGAUAAUGACGGUACCCGUAGAAUAAGCCCCGGCUAACUUCGUGCCAGCAGCCGC